rnacentral:rRNA from 1 species
UACGGGGGGGGCAAGCGUUGUUCGGAAUUACUGGGCGUAAAGCGCACGCAGGUGGCUGCGUAAGUCGAUUGUGAAAGCCCUGGGCUUAACCUGGGAAUUGCAUUCGAUACUGCUCAGCUAGAGUAUGGGAGAGGGUAGUGGAAUUCCCGGUGUAGCGGUGAAAUGCGUAGAUAUCGGGAGGAACAUCAGUGGCGAAGGCGGCUACCUGGCCCAAUACUGACACUCAGGUGCGACAGCGUGGGGAGCAAACAGG